GGGCCCGCACAAGCGGUGGAGUAUGUGGUUUAAUUCGAUGCAACGCGAAGAACCUUACCAGGGUUUGACAUCCUGCGAACCUCUUGGAAACGAGAGGGUGCCUUCGGGAGCGCAGUGACAGGUGGUGCAUGGCUGUCGUCAGCUCGUGUCGUGAGAUGUUGGGUUAAGUCCCGCAACGAGCGCAACCCACGUCUUUAGUUGCCAGCAUUUAGUUGGGCACUCUAGAGAGACCGCCGGUGAUAAACCGGAGGAAGGUGUGGAUGACGUCAAGUCAUCAUGCCCCUUACAUCCUGGGCUACACACGUACUACAAUGCUACGGACAAAGAGCAGCAAGUUCGCGAGGACAAGCAAAUCUCAUAAACCGUGGCUCAGUUCAGAUCGUAGGCUGCAACUCGCCUACGUGAAGGAGGAAUCGCUAGUAAUCGC
rnacentral:rRNA from 1 species